AAUUUGUUCAGCGUUUUGAAGUUUAGCGUCACUUUUGCACGAGACUUGCUGUUCAGAAGACGUGGUCUGAUCCAGUGCUGGGUAAUACUAAAUUGCAGAUCAUUGAAAAAGAGGACCUGAACAACAGGAGUGACAAUAUGAGCGAUUGAUGGCCUGGUGAUGUACUACCUUUAAAACUUAGGUAAUGUCUGUUUCUGUUUUUUCGAAGAGUUAUGUAAAAUCUCAAUUAUAAAAGAAAUAAAUUUGCUUGUUUACAGGAACCCCCCCCCCCCCCUCCCCCUCACAGAUAACAACAAUUAAGCAAAAGCAUUAAAAUUAAAACAAUGAAAUAAAAUCAACCUAUAACUAAACUACAAUAAACUGUUGAGAUAACACAAUAACAAUAAAUAAAUAACAUAAAAUGAAAUAAAUAAAAAAAAAAAAAAAA